UACGUAGGGGGCGAGCGUUGUCCGGAUUUAUUGGGCGUAAAGAGCGUGUAGGCGGCCAGGUAGGUCAGCUGUGAAAACUCGAGGCUCAACCUCGAGAUGUCGGCUGAAACCAUCUGGCUAGAGUCCGGAAGAGGAGAAUGGAAUUCCCGGUGUAGCGGUGAAAUGCGCAGAUAUCGGGAAGAACACCCGUGGCGAAGGCGGUUCUCUGGGACGGUACUGACGCUGAGACGCGAAAGCGUGGGGAGCGAGCAGG
rnacentral:rRNA from 1 species